rnacentral:lncRNA from 1 species
UGGAGUUUAGACAGAAUGCCAACAAUCACUGUUCAGUUGCUGUGGUUUUAUACUCCUUAGAUGAUCUGAAAAUCCCAUAGGCCUUCCAGGGCUACCCUGACACUUCCUCCGGGGAACAAGCUUUCGGGACCAUCUGAGGCUGACCUUUAGUUGGCCAAAGGGCACUAUUUCCUGUUCCUGGCCAGAGCAGUAGGGCCAAAAGAAUCAUGGUUUCCUGCUUCCUGAUGAAAGGACCAUGUGAAGUAUGGAGGGAACAGGUUCUGAUGAUGAAACCUGGGAGUCUGCACUGGAUAUGGGGAUCCCACUGGAGUCUUCAACUAUACCACAAGAGGAGACAUGAUCGUCUGCUAGCAGCCUCAAGGAAGCUAUUUCCACAUGUUCACACAACUGGGUAUAGUGUGGAGCCUGUGUGCAUGGGAACUGAGGACAAUAGACAGAACUGAAGAGUUCCAUGUUAAGCAGACAAUCUUACAGACAGGAUAUCUCCAGCCAGCAACCAGCAAUCCACUAACCAGAAAUCCAGCCACAGCCACAGCAGGAGCAGCAGCAGCAGGAGGAGCAGCAAGAGAAGGAGCAGCAGCAGGAGGAGGAGCAGCAGGAGCAGCAGGAGAAGCAGGAGAAGCAGCAGGAGGAGUAGCAGCAGCAGGAGCAGCAGGAGCAGCAGGAGAAGCAGCAGGAGCAGGAGAAGCAGCAGGAGGAGCAACAGCAGCAGGAAGAGUAGCAGCAGCAGCAACAGGAACAGCAG